UGUUCUCAGGGCAGGGUGAAAGUCCCUACCGGCGGUAAGAACAGUGUUCAAGCCCGCGAGCGCCUGCAUUCGUGCAGGGACAGCAGAUUUGGUGUGAUUCCAAAGCCGACGGUCAUAGUCCGGAUGAAAGAGAACA
rnacentral:ncRNA from 1 species